UUAAUGCUCCAGAAGGAAACAAUGCAUUAAGAGCUGGGGGUAAAAACUUUUUGAAUUUGAAGAUCGAGGUAAAUUGUACUUAAUUUGCCUUCCGGGAAAUAUGCAAGUAUCUUCUGUUCUGAAGGGCAGUACUAAAUGGAAAAUAAAUACAUUUUAAUAAAACAAGAAAACUCGACAUCAUGUUUCAUUGCUUGUAAUUUAUCAUGUUUCUUUCUGAAUGUAGCCAGGCAAGCACCUACCAGUAGGGGUGUGGUUGGCUAAUUAUCCCAAGACUUUUUAAGCAGGCACCGGGCAAGGGGCACCGAAAUGUGGGCCCUGUUUUGAAAGCACAUGGGCUAUAGUGCUGCUUUGUUUGGUUGUGUUUGGUUGUGUUUGAAGUCGCUCUAGAGGAGAUAAAUUUAGCAAUGCUGACUGUGUAUGUUGACAGCUGCUGAUAUCGAUCUGGAUAAAUGCUUGAACAUCAACUGAUUGUUAUAUCUGCUAUAUUCCAAUGAAGAUUUAUCAAUUGCUGUUUCUCCUGUAUUGUUUUUGUUUGGUCCCCUGGUUGACCGGUCUCAGGAGUGUGCUGCAUGGUGGCAGCACAUGUAUCGUGUGAAUUGUUUGUGUACGAGUCCGGUUGGCCGGGGCUUUGUUUUUGUAUUCUUUUAUUUUUAUUGAUGAUACCUUCCCAGCCUUAUGCUGCCAGCUUAACUCAUGGUGCUUGUAUUUUGUGUGCGUGUGUGCAUGUCUUUGUGUAUGGGAUUUAAGUUUGCUGUGUUUUCUUUUGUGGUUAUUGCCUUUUGAGUGUUUAAUGUAAGAGGGAUGUCCCCCUAUGCCUAAAGGUUUGCCGCACGCAACGAAAGCAGUCAUCAUAGCGAGAUAGUUGAGCUGGCUGUUAACCUCUGAGAGCUGGGACCAAUUCUGGAUGAGCUACUGAUUUUGCAAGGGAUUCCCAAACUUUUGAAAUGCCACUGUAGGUACAAGGAGAGGGGAAGUGUUAUGUUCUAAGUAAUGAACCUAGAGGCACCCCAGUUACAACAUGUUGCAACUUACUGUACAAACCUAACCCUGACACCCUGAAGGACAUACCUGAGAGGUAAGACUUGGACAACUGGAGUGAGGUUCCAAAGACACGAAUAAUCAGGUGGAUAACUGUUCCAAAAGCCGAAAAAAUAUCCAGCAAAACGAGCACAGAUAACUUAAAAGUUGCUGGAGUCAAAGAGCUUUAAUAACCAAGAGCAGGACAGUCUUAGUUGAGUGGCCUCUUUGGAAACUAGAUUAGUACAGGAGAUUGCUCUGUGUGAGAAGGCAGUUUCAACAUAACUCGUUCAUUAAAUGAAUUAAAUGAA